rnacentral:rRNA from 1 species
GAAGUUUUCAGAGAUGAGAAUGUGCCUUCGGGAACCGUGAGACAGGUGCUGCAUGGCUGUCGUCAGCUCGUGUUGUGAAAUGUUGGGUUAAGUCCCGCAACGAGCGCAACCCUUAUCCUUUGUUGCCAGCGGUCCGGCCGGGAACUCAAAGGAGACUGCCAGUGAUAAACUGGAGGAAGGUGGGGAUGACGUCAAGUCAUCAUGGCCCUUACGACCAGGGCUACACACGUGCUACAAUGGCGCAUACAAAGAGAAGCGACCUCGCGAGAGCAAGCGGACCUCAUAAAGUGCGUCGUAGUCCGGAUUGGAGUCUGCAACUCGACUCCAUGAAGUCGGAAUCGCUAGUAAUCGUGGAUCA